AUUGUUGAGAUGACUGCUGCUGCUGCUGCUGUUGCUGCAAUUUCUGUAAUAAUUGGAAUUGUUGCUCUGGGAGGCCCUGCUGUGCCAGUUGUUGAAUUUGCGGCUGCUGUUGUGACCUCUGGGACAGAUUUUGCUGCAACUGUGUCUGUUGCUGUUGGCUCUGUACGAGGUUAGGUUGCUGUUCCACCUGUUGUUGAAUCUGUGUAUCUUGAGCUAACGACGUCAAAGGAUAUGAAGCUUUAUUAGCAGGAAGGGUGGUUUGAGUUGACUGGCCAUUGCUUGUCAAUAUUUGUUGUUGUUGCUGCUGUUGCUGAACCUG
rnacentral:lncRNA from 1 species